UACAUAGCCUGACUACAGGUCAAAUUGUGCUUGUCCUUCUCACUUCCUAUCUAGUUAGGUAACCAAGUGGCCAUAACUUGGUUAGAGGCUUUCCCCUCUCCAACGGCGAUAUUCCUUCUUUCUUUCGGUGAGUCAUCCAAAACAUUAUAAACCUAACGUUAAUGCACUUCAAUUUAUUCAGUUAACAAACUUCAGCUCAUGAACUUCACUUCAGUUAUAUAUCAGACAUUGUUCUAGGUCCUGAAUAUACACAGGCCUACACUGCAAGGCCCGUGGAGAAGAGGGAGCCAUCCCCCUCGGUGAGAUUUAUGCUGUUCAGAGGGUUCCUGCUUCUCGAUAUCCAAUUCGUAUUUAGUCCAGAUCACAUGAAAUCAACAUAUAAAUUAAAAGCUGUUUGAAUCUCUGAGAUGAGGUGCAACGUGUGACUUUUCUACUUGAAAGAAACUUUUCUACUUGAAGAAGCAAUAAUGCUGCUACUCUACUAAACAACCGACAGAAGAAAAGCUUUUUUCCGCCCGCCUUAUGGACUAUAAAAUCAAAAAGACUGGGAAAAUCAUGUCCGAAGUUUGACUGAGUUGAGGAAUUUCCUGACAUGAAAUUGGGUUUGGUUCCAAAAGUGAGAAAUGCACCGAUGGUUGCAGUCCCGAACAUUCUACACAUUCCAAGUAGAAAGAAGCAAGGAGAUGAUUUCUACUCGUCUGUGUCUCACUGUCCAAACUAAGUCACACGGCCGUGUUAAUUACCAGGGAAUCCGAGAAGGCAAGGACUUCAGUAAAGGAAAGGCUAGGAACCAGUUUUUACCCUUUUGGGGUAAUGUUAUCCCUGUGAAAAAUGCAUACCACAAGAGAAAGAGAAAUAAGACAACAAA